rnacentral:rRNA from 1 species
AUUGAACGCUGGCGGAAUGCUUUACACAUGCAAGUCGAACGGCAGCAUAGGUGCUUGCACCUGAUGGCGAGUGGCGAACGGGUGAGUAAUACAUCGGAACGUGCCCAGUCGUGGGGGAUAACGUAGCGAAAGUUACGCUAAUACCGCAUACGAUCUAAGGAUGAAAGCGGGGGACCGUAAGGCCUUGCGCGAUUGGAGCGGCCGAUGUCAGAUUAGGUAGUUGGUGAGGUAAAGGCUCACCAAGCCGACGAUCUGUAGCUGGUCUGAGAGGACGACCAGCCACACUGAGACUGAGACACGGCCCAGACUCCUACGGGAGGCAGCAGUGGGGAAUUUUGGACAAGGGACGCAAGUCUGAUCCAGCCAUUCCGCGUGCGGGACGAAGGCCUUCGGGUUGUAAACUGCUUUUGUACGGAACGAAAAAGCUCUUACUAAUACUAGGAGUCCAUGACGGUACCGUAAGAAUAAGCACCGGCUAACUACGUGCCAGCCGCCGCCGUAA